ACUACCGCUAACUUUUUAUACAAAUGUAUCUGAAGGAUAUACCCCUUGAAAUGCAUCAUCUCGUUAAGUUACCGAACACAUGUUUUAACGUUUUAUAUGUGUGGUAGGGCUGACUUGCAGCGCGUUGGGCACACGCCCUCUUAGGGGAGGUAUCUAUAUACGCUGUUUCCGCCUGACUGUAAUGCCGGUCAUUUGAAUUGUUUGGCGCGUGUUGCCCGUGUUUGUCUGUCGCUGGAAGAACACACUGCUACGUACUGAGACCUGCUGAAUGCAGACUGCGCGUUGCUUUUGUGCUGGCGCAUUGGCCGUCUAAGUGCUUAAGUCGAGGUGCGUUGCUGUUGUUGCCCCGUAACUUUCUCUCUCCGAGGUUUGUUUGCAGGAAGC
rnacentral:lncRNA from 1 species